rnacentral:rRNA from 1 species
AUUGAACGCUGGCGGCAUGCUUUACACAUGCAAGUCGAACGGUAACAGGCCGCAAGGUGCUGACGAGUGGCGAACGGGUGAGUAAUGCAUCGGAACGUGCCCAGUCGUGGGGGAUAACGCAGCGAAAGUUGCGCUAAUACCGCAUACGAUCUAUGGAUGAAAGCGGGGGACCGUAAGGCCUCGCGCGAUUGGAGCGGCCGAUGUCAGAUUAGGUAGUUGGUGGGGUAAAGGCUGACCAAGCCGACGAUCUGUAGCUGGUCUGAGAGGACGACCAGCCACACUGGGGCUGAGACACGGCCCAGACGCCUACGGGAGGCAGCAGUGGGGAAUUUUGGACAAUGGGCGCAAGCCUGAUCCAGCAAUGCCGCGUGCAGGAAGAAGGCCUUCGGGUUGUAAACUGCUUUUGUACGGAACGAAACGGUCCUGGUUAAUACCCGGGGCUAAUGACGGUACCGUAAGAAUAAGCACCGGCUAACUACGUGCCAGCAGCCGCCGCAGUAA